GGACAAAUUUCUCUGGACCCCUUCAGUGGUCGACCUUCCACAGUGCCCUCCAGACUCCUCCAGCGGACGAACUUCCACAAUACCUUUCGGACUCUCCUAUCGGCCGACCUUCUGUAGCACCUUUCGAAUUUUGCUGUCGGUCGACCUUCUGUCGGAUUCCUCAUGCAACCAGACCUCUCCAGCGGAUAAUCUUUAGAUGAGCUUUUACAUCAAACAAAUUUCAGA
rnacentral:lncRNA from 1 species